rnacentral:rRNA from 1 species
UACGUAGGGCGCAAGCGUUAUCCGGAAUUAUUGGGCGUAAAGAGCUCGUAGGCGGUUUGUCGCGUCUGCUGUGAAAACCCGAGGCUCAACCUCGGGCCGCAGUGGGUACGGGCAGACUAGAGUGGCGGUAGGGGAGAUUGGAAUUCCUGGUGUAGCGGUGGAAUGCGCAGAUAUCAGGAGGAACACCGGUGGCGAAGGCGGUAGUCUGGGCCGGUACUGACGCUGAGGAGCGAAAGCGUGGGGAGCGAACAGG